rnacentral:rRNA from 1 species
GACGAACGCUGGCGGCGUGCCUAAUACAUGCAAGUCGAACGCAGUGGGGACGGGUGAGUAACACGUGGGUAACCUCCCAUCAGAGGGGAUAACACUUGGAAACAGGUGCUAAACCGAUACUGAUGGAUGGACCCGCGGUGCAUUAGCUAGUUGGUGAGGUAACGGCGCACCAAGGCCACGAUGCAUAGCCGACCUUGAAGGUUGAUCGCCCACACAGGUACUGAGACACGGCCCAGACUCCGACGGGAGGCAGCAGUAGGGAUGCUUCGGCAAGGGACGAAAUGCUUACCGAGCAACGCCGCGUGAGUGAAGAAGGUUUUCGGAUCGUAGAACUCUGUUGUUAGAGAAGCGGUAUCUAACCAGAAAGCCACGGCUAACUACGUGCCAGCAGCCGCGGUAAUAC